rnacentral:rRNA from 1 species
UACAUGGGGUGCAAACGUUGCUCGGAAUUAUUGGGCGUAAAGCGCACGUAGGCGGUUCGUUAAGUCGGAUGUGAAAGCCCUCGGCUCAACUGAGGAAGUGCACCCGAAACUGGCGAGCUUGAGUACGAAAGAGGAUCGCGGAAUUUCCGGUGUAGAGGUGAAAUUCGUAGAUAUCGGGAGGAACACCGGUGGCGAAGGCGGCGAUCUGGGUCGAUACUGACGCUGAGGUGCGAAAGCGUGGGGAGCAAACAGG